CCUACGGUGUGCAGCAGUGAGGAAUAUUGGUCAAUGGGCGAAAGCCUGAACCAGCCAAGUCGCGUGAGGGUUGACGGUCCUAUGGAUUGUAAACCUCUUUUGUCGGGGAGAAAAGCGCGGUCCGAGUACCGUGAAGGAGAGUACCCGAAGAAAAAGCAUCGGCUAACUCAGUGCCAGCAGCCGCGGUAAUACGGAGGAUGCGAGCGUUAUCGGGAUUUAUUGGGUUUCAAGGGUGCAUAGGCGGAUUAGUUAGUCAGGGGUAAUAAUGCGGUGCUCAAGGCCGUAUCGCCGUUGAGACGGCGGGUCUUGAGUGAGCGAGAAGUAUGCGGAAUGCGUGGUGUAGCGGUGAAAUGCAUAGAUAUCACGCAGAACUCCGAUUGCGAAGGCAGCAUACCGGCGCUCAACUGACGCUGAGGCACGAAAGCGUGGGGAUCGAACAGGAUUAGAUACCCCUGUAGUC
rnacentral:rRNA from 1 species